rnacentral:rRNA from 1 species
GACGAACGCUGGCGGCGUGCCUAAUACAUGCAAGUCGAGCGAGCGGAACUAACAGUUUUUCUUCGGUCGUGACGUUAGGAAGGCGAGCGCCCGCUGGGUGCGUACCCCUUGGGUUACCUGCCCCAUAGUCUGGUAUACCACUUGUAAACUGGUGCUUCUUCCUGAUAAGAGAGCAGUUCGCAUGUUCAGCUUUUAUAUGUCGGCUUAAGCUGUCUCUAUUGGAUGGCCCCGUGGUGCAUUAGCUAGUUUGUAAGGUAAAGGCUUACCAAGCCGAUGAGGGGUAGCCGAGGGGAGAGACUGAUCGGCCACAUUGGAACUGAGACACGGACCAAACGACUAAGGGAGGCAGCAGUAGGGAAUCUUACGCAAUGGGCGGAAGUAUGAUGGAGCAAAGCCGCGUGAGUGAAGAAGGUGUUCGGAGCGUAAAGAUCUGUUGUUGGUGAAGAAGGAAAGAGGUAGUAACUGGACAUUAUUUGACGGUAAUCAAUCAGAAAGCCACGGCUAACUACGUG